rnacentral:rRNA from 1 species
AGUGAACGUUGGCGGCGUGGAUUAGGCAUGCAAGUCGAGCGGGAGUAGCAAUACUCCAGCGGCGAAAGGGAGAGUAAUGCGUAGAUUACCUACCUCCAGGCCCGGGAUAGCCGUGGGAAACUGCGGGUAAUACCGGAUAAUGUCUCCGGACCAAAGGUGUGAUUCCGCCUGGAGACGGGUCUGCGUCCUAUCAGCUAGUUGGUGAGGUAACGGCUUACCAAGGCGACGACGGGUACGAGGCGUGAGAGCGUGUCCUCGCUCACUGGGACUGAGACACUGCCCAGACACCUACGGGUGGCUGCAGUCGAGAAUCUUCGUCAAUGGGCGCAAGCCUGAACGAGCGACGCCGCGUGCGGGAUGAAGGCCUUCGGGUUGUAAACCGCUGUCAGAGGGGAUGAAAUGCCGGUGGGUUCUCCCAUCGGUUUGACAGAUCCUCAGAGGAAGUACGGGCUAAGUUCGUGCCAGCCGCCGCGGUAA